rnacentral:rRNA from 1 species
GAUGAACGCUAGCUACAGGCUUAACACAUGCAAGUCGCGGGGCAGCAUGGGGGUUGCUUGCAAUCCCCGAUGGCGACCGGCGCACGGGUGAGUAACGCGUAUUCAACCUGCCCUUCACCACGGGAUAACCCGGCGAAAGUCGGACUAAUACCGUAUGUUGUCCAUUGACGGCAUCCGAUUUGGACGAAAGGCUUGGCGGUGAGGGAUGGGGAUGCGUCCGAUUAGCCAGACGGCGGGGUAACGGCCCACCGUGGCUACGAUCGGUAGGGGUUCUGAGAGGAAGGUCCCCCACACUGGAACUGAGACACGGUCCAGACUCCUACGGGAGGCAGCAGUGAGGAAUAUUGGUCAAUGGGCGUAAGCCUGAACCAGCCAAGUAGCGUGCAGGAUGACGGCCCUAUGGGUUGUAAACCGCUUUUAUGCUGGGAUAAAGUGGCCCACGUGUGGGCUUUUGCAGGUACCGCAUGAAUAAGGACCGGCUAAUUCCGUG